GAGUUUGAUCCUGGUCAGAACGAACGCUGGCGGCAGGCNUAACACAUGCAAGUCGAGCGCACCCUUUCGGGGGUGAGCGGCGGACGGGUGAGUAACGCGUGGGAACGUGCCCUUUGCUUCGGAAUAGUCCCGGGAAACUGGGGGUAAUACCGGAUACGCCCUUUAUUGGGGAAAGAUUUAUCGGCGAAGGAUCGGCCCGCGUUGGAUUAGGUAGUUGGUGGGGUAAUGGCCUACCAAGCCGACGAUCCAUAGCUGGUUUGAGAGGAUGAUCAGCCACACUGGGACUGAGACACGGCCCAGACUCCUACGGGAGGCAGCAGA
rnacentral:rRNA from 1 species